ACAUGCUUACAACAUAGCGUUAAUGCACCGGAUCCCAUUAGAAAUCUGCAAUUAAGCACACUCAAGAUAGAGUAGUAUUGGAAUGGGUGACCACCUGGGAAGUCCUAGUGUUUUACAUUCC
rnacentral:rRNA from 1 species